rfam:Candidate division WWE3 bacterium CSP1-7 XT08_C0003, whole genome shotgun sequence.
GGAGGGGUCGCAUAGUGGCCUAGUGCGCACGCUUGGAAAGCGUGUUACCCGCAAGGGUUCGCGGGUUCAAAUCCCGCCCCCUCCG